UACGGAAGGUUCGGGCGUUCUCCGGAUUUAUUGGGUUUAAAGGGAGCGUAGGCUGAUUUUUAAGCGAGCUGUGAAAGUUCGGGGCUCAACCUCGGAAUUGCAGUUCGAACUGGAAGUCUUGAGUAGGUGCAACGUUGCUGGAAUUCGUGGUGUAGCGGUGAAAUGCUUAGAUAUCACGAAGAACUCCGAUUGCGAAGGCAGGUGACGGGUGCUUUACUGACGCUGAGGCUCGAAAGUGCGGGUAU
rnacentral:rRNA from 1 species